rnacentral:rRNA from 1 species
AUUGAACGCUGGCGGCAGGCCUAACACAUGCAAGUCGAGCGGAUGACGGGAGCUUGCUCCUGGAUUCAGCGGCGGACGGGUGAGGAAUGCUUAGGAAUCUGCCUGGUCGUGGGGGACAACGUUUCGAAAGGAACGCUAAUACCGCAUACGUCCUACGGGAGAAAGCAGGGGACCUUCGGGCCUUGCGCUAUCAGAUGAGCCUAGGUCGGAUUAGCUAGUUGGCGAGGUAAUGGCUCACCAAGGCGACGAUCCGUAACUGGUCUGAGAGGAUGAUCAGUCACACUGGAACUGAGACACAGUCCAGACUCCUACGGGAGGCAGCAGUGGGGAAUAUUGGACAAUGGGCGAAAGCCUGAUCCAGCCAUGCCGCGUGUGUGAAGAAGGUCUUCGGAUUGUAAAGCACUUUAAGUUGGGAGGAAGGGUUGUAGAUUAAUACUCUGCAAUUUUGACGUUACCGACAGAAUAAGCACCGGCUAACUCUGUGCCAGCCGCCGCAGUAAAAC